rnacentral:rRNA from 1 species
UGGGGGAUAUUGCACAAUGGGGGAAACCCUGAUGCAGCGACGCCGCGUGAGGGAAGAAGGUUUUCGGAUUGUAAACCUCUGUCUAGGGGGACGAAACAAAUGACGGUACCCCUGGAGGAAGCCACGGCUAACUACGUGCCAGCAGCCGCGGUAAUACGUAGGUGGCAAGCGUUGUCCGGAAUUACUGGGUGUAAAGGGAGCGUAGGCGGGCUUUUAAGUAGAACGUCAAAACUAUGGGCUCAACUCAUAGUCGCGUUUUAAACUGGAAGUCUUGAGUGUAGUAGAGGUAGGCGGAAUUCCUAGUGUAGCGGUGAAAUGCGUAGAUAUUAGGAGGAACACCAGUGGCGAAGGCGGCCUACUGGGCUAUAACUGACGCUGAGGCUCGAAAGUGUGGGGAGCAAACA